AUGGAAAAGUGGUUCCUUACUACUAUUGUCAUGAGCUCACAGAGUUGUAAGCCUGAUGCAGCAGAUACGCCGUCCGAUCAGGAGAUCUCUGUCGAGAAGAGCGAUAGAUGCAGCGACGAUUCCUCUUGUUUAUUCUUGGAACACCGUACUUCUGCAACAGUGAGGAAACGGUGCGGAACGGCGAAAGAAAGCUUUAAUCUGAAACGAUGA